UACGAGGGGGGCAAAUGUUGCUCGGAAUCACUGGGCGUAAAGGGAGCGUAGGCGGGUUUUAAGUCAGGUGUUUAAUCCCGGGGCCCAACCCCGGACCGGCACUUGAAACUGGAAUCUUGAAUAGUGGAGAGGUCAGUGGAAUUGGGGGUGUAGCGGUGGAAUGCGUAGAGAUCCCCAAGAACACCAGUUGCGAAGGCGGCUGACUGGACACAUAUUGACGCUGAGGCUCGAAAGCAUGGGGAGCAAACAGG
rnacentral:rRNA from 1 species